AAUAGAUUAAAGAUCUUUGGGUUAAAACUUUGAAACCUAAGAAUCAAAGCAAAGAAUCUUCACUGGUAGAGUGCGGGUGUGCACAGUAACUAUUUGAUGCCAUCCGUUCUAAAUAAAUGAAUUGCUGUCCGGGGUCUCCUUCUUUGACUAGUCAAUUUCAGUGGUACUACCUGCUUUGUGAUAAUAUUAAAUGCUUCUUUUACCAAGUUGUCUUCCUCAUUACAUAUAGAGAUAUAUGGAAGGUUUACAUUUUCGCUGCUUUUACAUGCAUGCAUCAGUUUUGUUUUUGAAGCUCAUUUUCAUGAAACAAAAACCAGAUGGUCAACGGAUAUGGGGAAAUCAGUUCGAACCAUUUUGUUUGUCUUGUUGCUGUCUUCGUUUCUGUUUCUGGUCUUUUUGUUGUUUUCAGUUUCUAGCUUCUCUGAUUCAUCUCCGGGCCCUAAAAGCAGCUUCAAACCCAGCCCUGUCACGUUGCAGACCAGCCGCUUCCUUCAGUCUUUUCAUGAGCUUUUCGUCGGAUACAGAAACGGUGCAACUUCAAGUCCAGAGAGUUUACAUGAGAAGAAAGGUAAUUCUAAUAUGAGUAGGCCAUUGAAAGAGGAUUUCACAUUUCCUACCGGUUCUGCUCCUUUCAACAGUUGUCAUGCCUCUACCAUUGUUGAGGUUGGUAAAGGUCACUUCUUGGUUGCUUAUUUUGGAGGAACAUCUGAAGGAGCAGCUGAUGUGAAAAUUUGGUUGCAGAAAUAUAAGGGUGGCCGCUGGUACCCACCUAUUAUUAUGGAUGAAGAGCCUAAUGUUCCAAUGUGGAACCCUGUACUAUUUAAACUUCCAUCAGAUGAGCUGCUAUUGUUCUAUAAAGUGGGCUUGGAAGUUCAAAAGUGGAGCGGGUGCAUGAAGCGAUCAUAUGAUAAAGGUGUCACUUGGACAAGGAGAGAACAGCUUCCUCCUGGAAUACUAGGACCAUCUAAGAACAAGCCUCUCUUGUUGGGGAACAGGCUUUUGCUAUGUGGAUCCUCAGUGGAGAGUUGGAAUUCUUGGGGGGCAUGGGCUGAGGUUACAGAAGAUGCUGGCAGAACCUGGAAGAAGUAUGGUCCUAUAUAUGUUAAAAAUGAAACUCUCAGUGUGAUUCAACCAGUUCCUUUCCUAACUGCAACAGGCACCUUGCGUUUUUUAUUGCGCUCCUUUAAUAACAUUAGUAGAGUUUGUAUGGCAGAAUCAUUUGAUGGUGGACAGAAUUGGGGUUUUGCCACACCUACUGAGCUCCCCAACCCAAACUCAGGUAUCGAUGGCGUCAAGCUGAGAGAUGGUCAUCUGUUACUUGCUUAUAAUACAAUCUCAAGGAGUGUGCUUAAAGUUUCCCUAUCCAUAGAUGAUGGUGAUUCAUGGCAGGACAGUUUGACACUGGAAGAGACACAAGGAAUGGAGUUCUCAUAUCCCGCUGUCAUCCAGGCUAGUGAUGGAUUAGUUCACAUCACUUACACGUAUAAUAGGACCCAGAUUAAGGUAACAACCUGGAUUCAGAUAUGAGAAAUGGAUUAAUUCAUUCCCUUUCCCUUAUUCAGUUUCACCAGAAAAAGUCAUUUCAUUAUAUUUUCUCUUGCUUACUUGAGCUGAAAUUUGUUUUUGCAGCAUGUUGUUCUUCAACCAAAUUGACCCAGUGGUUUAUAUUCCUCUGUCAGUCAGAGAAACCAUUGUUUUAGAGCGCUGCGUAUAACCAUCAGCUACCUGUAUCCCCUCUUUCAUUAUUGAAACUAUCUGCUAGUGCCAUAACUUUUGAUAUCUUUGUAAUGUUUCAUCCUAAGGAUAGGCUUCAGUACUGUAGAUUCAAUGGCAACUUGUUUUGAUGGACUACAGCAUCACUUGCAUGUCCUUGAAGAUCCUCUGGAGCCUGGAGGGCAUUAAGCCGCCACUCUUUCUUAGCAAUAUGUUUGGAAAAAAGGAAAAUGAGUUCAAAAUAUUCAACUAAAAUAAUUUGUACCAUAUCCAAUAUUUUGCUUGAAUGUAGCUUCAGACAGAACAGAAUACAGGUGCCUGAUGAAAGUGUUAGGAAUAGUGACUCAAAUUCCAUAAAAGAUUCGUUUGGGAUUAGCUAGAUAUUGCUUGAUGGACAAGAAGACUU